rnacentral:lncRNA from 1 species
UAUGAACAGUUAAUUUAUUUGAAUUGUGAUAUUGUUUUCCUUCUUCUUUGAAAUCUUCACAGAACCAGAAUUUUGCCAAAGAUAUACAUACGGAGUGCGAGCCACUGUUCAGUGCAUUCCUGCUUGGCUUUAUUUCAUUCAGUGCCUGUGCUGGUACUGUGACACAAGAAGAGCCUUUUCUCAUCCAGUAAAUGCUGCCUGGCAAAUACUCUACGACUUUCUUCAUCGUGACAUUUCCAGCCCUUUACAGCACCCACAAAGAACGAAGUCACUCUGACACCAUGGUGUUCUUUUACCUGUGGUCAUCUUUUGCAUCAUUAGCUACUGCUAUAUUUUCAUCUGGGAUCUCAAGAUGGACUGGGGUUUCUUUGAUAAGAAUGCAGGAGAUAACAAUUUCCUCUGUCAAGAAAUUUUAUACCCC